GGAGCAAGAUAAUUGCAAGAAAAUCUUGAAGGGUAUAACAGGAAGCAUUGGCCCCGGUGAAAUCCUUGAUCUAAUGGGUCCUUUUGGUAGUGGUAAAACAACCCUGCUAAAGAUAAUAGGAGGAAGAUUAACAGAUACAGUUAAAGGAAGCAUCACUUACAAUGAUAUUCCUUGUAAUGCAGCCCUUAAGAGAAGGAUUGGAUUGACACGGGAUGAUGUGCUAUUCCCACAACUUACAGUGGAUGAAACUUUGGUCUUUGCUGCAUUUUUGAGACUUCCUGGAAACAUGAGUCAACAACAGAAAUAUGCCAGGGUAGAUGUCAUUGUAUAGGAGCUAGGCCGUGAAAGGUAUGUACUUCAUGGACCAUGAACAACGGAUAACGUGAUACUCUAAAUGAUGGCUAUUUGAUGGUUUUAUAAUAAAUUUU
rnacentral:misc_RNA from 1 species